CGAGCAUGGCUUUACGCGGUAUUCCGCAGAUGAUUGACUCAAGACCGAGUCGAGUGGAUAGCUUGAUAAAGGUAGAUGAAACCUUAUGAGCAGAAUUGUGAAUGACAUGAAUCUAAGAUAGAGGAAAGCUUAGAUGUCAAUUGGAUGAGCUAUGAAUAGCAGGAUUGAAAGUAGAAUCAGUCGAUCUACUUAGCUUAUUGCAUGUUGAGCUGCAUAGUUG
rnacentral:lncRNA from 1 species